rnacentral:rRNA from 1 species
ACGAACGCUGGCGGCGUGCUUAACACCUGCCAGUCGCACGGAAAGGCCCUGCUUUUGUGGGGUGCUCGAGUGGCGAACGGGUGAGUAACACGUGAGUAACCUGCCCUUGACUUUGGGAUAACUUCAGGAAACUGGGGCUAAUACCGGAUAGGAGCUCCUGCUGCAUGGUGGGGGUUGGAAAGUUUCGGCGGUUGGGGAUGGACUCGCGGCUUAUCAGCUUGUUGGUGGGGUAGUGGCUUACCAAGGCUUUGACGGGUAGCCGGCCUGAGAGGGUGACCGGCCACAUUGGGACUGAGAUACGGCCCAGACUCCUACGGGAGGCAGCAGUGGGGAAUAUUGCACAAUGGGCGGAAGCCUGAUGCAGCAACGCCGCAUGCGGGAUGACGGCCUUCGGGUUGUAAACCGCUUUCGCCUGUGACGAAGCGUGAGUGACGGUAAUGGGUAAAGAAGCACCGGCUAACUACGUG